rnacentral:rRNA from 1 species
UACGUAGGUGGCAAGCGUUGUCCGGAAUUAUUGGGCGUAAAGCGCGCGCAGGUGGUUUCUUAAGUCUGAUGUGAAAUCUCCACGCUCAACGUGGAGGGGCCACCCGAUACUGCCAUGACUGGAGUCCGGUAGAGGAGUGUGGAAUUCCCGGUGUAGCGGUGAAAUGCGCAGAUAUCGGGAGGAACACCUAUGGCGAAGGCAGCUCGCUGGGACGUUACUGACGCUGAGACGCGAAAGCGUGGGGAGCAAACAGG